GAGCACUUGAUACUAACCAAGCCAUCCAUAUCCCAGGCCUUGUGCAGAGGUCUGUGGUAUGCCAUGUGAUUGCUGGGUCUGAAAAGUGCUACAUUAAAACAAGCCAUGAAGUGUUUAAGCUCAGUGUGUAAAGGAAGACACUGGGUUAUAACUCAGAGGCACAGAA
rnacentral:snoRNA from 1 species